rnacentral:piRNA from 1 species
UACCAAGAUGGUGGGCACCAUGG